AUUGAACGCUGGCGGCAGGCCUAACACAUGCAAGUCGAGCGGAUGAAGGGAGCUUGCUCCUGGAUUCAGCGGCGGACGGGUGAGUAAUGCCUAGGAAUCUGCCUGGUAGUGGGGGAUAACGUCCGGAAACGGGCGCUAAUACCGCAUACGUCCUGAGGGAGAAAGUGGGGGAUCUUCGGACCUCACGCUAUCAGAUGAGCCUAGGUCGGAUUAGCUAGUUGGUGGGGUAAAGGCCUACCAAGGCGACGAUCCGUAACUGAUCUGGGAGGAUGAUCAGUCACACUGGAACUGAGACACGGUCCAGACUCCUACGGGAGGCAGCAGUGGGGAAUAUUGGACAAUGGGCGAAAGCCUGAUCCAGCCAUGCCGCGUGUGUGAAGAAGGUCUUCGGAUUGUAAAGCACUUUAAGUUGGGAGGAAGGGCAGUAAGUUAAUACCUUGCUGUUUUGACGUUACCAACAGAAUAAGCACCGGCUAACUUCGUG
rnacentral:rRNA from 1 species